UUGGGGUUGCGGACAUAUCAUAACGAAGAGGUAUCGUAAUUGAAGAGGUUUGGAAAGACCCACCACAGAAGGUAAUAGUCCUGUAUGUUAAACGAGAAGACUUUAGAUAUGAUCCAGAGUACCACGGGACACGUGAAACCCUGUGGGAAGCAGGAGGGACCACCCUCCAAGGCUAAAUACUACCUAGUGACCGAUAGCGUAUAGUACCGUGAGGGAAAGGUGAAAAGAACCCCGGGAGGGGAGUGAAAUAGAACCUGAAACCCUGCACUUACAAGCUGUGGAAGCACAUUUCUUGUGUGACCGCGUACUUUUUGUAGAACGGGCCAACGAGUUACGUUAAGUAGCAAGGUUAAGCACUUAAGGUGCGGAGCCGUAGCGAAAGCGAGUUUUAACUGAGCGUUCAGUUACUUGACGUAGACCCGAAACCGGGCGACCUACCCAUGAGCAGGAUGAAGCGAAAGUAAAAUGUCGUGGAGGUGCGAACCCACGAGCG
rnacentral:rRNA from 1 species